AGUGCUGACUGAACUCCCCCGACAGAUGAACUCCCACUGCACCACCCCCAAACUCCUUCAACAUGAGUUUCCCCAGUCGUCUAUCAAGCCGCCCCAAGCACUCACUAAGCUCUGCCGCCAGUCGACCUCCUACGACCAUCGGCUGCUCCCCGAAUCCCUUCCAGACUUCUUCCAGCCAGGUUCAACUCCAAUCCGAACUACCUCGGACCUCGCCAACGGCCGAACUUCACCAACGGC
rnacentral:lncRNA from 1 species